rnacentral:rRNA from 1 species
UACAGAGGUCUCAAGCGUUGUUCGGAUUCAUUGGGCGUAAAGGGUGUGUAGGUGGCGCGCUAAGUCGGGUGUGAAAUCUCGGAGCUUAACUCCGAAACUGCAUUCGAUACUGCCGUGCUUGAGGACUGGAGAGGAGACUGGAAUUCAUGGUGUAGCAGUGAAAUGCGUAGAGAUCAUGAGGAAGACCAGUGGCGAAGGCGGGUCUCUGGACAGUUCCUGACACUGAGACACGAAGGCCAGGGGAGCAAACGGG